rnacentral:rRNA from 1 species
UACAGAGGUCUCAAGCGUUGUUCGGAUUCAUUGGGCGUAAAGGGUGCGUAGGUGGCAGGGUAAGUCGGAUGUGAAAUCCCGGGGCUCAACCUCGGAACUGCAUUCGAUACUGCUUUGCUGGAGUACUGGAGAGGAGAUUGGAAUUUACGGUGUAGCAGUGAAAUGCGUAGAUAUCGUAAGGAAGACCAGUGGCGAAGGCGGCCAACUGGACGGUGACUGACACUGAGACGCGAAAGCGUGGGGAGCAAACAGG